CGCUACUUGUUCUCUAUGUAUAUUCUGUCAAAAUUCAAAAUUGGUAAUAAAAUUUAACAUUUUAUCAAAAAAAAUUUUUUUAAGUCGUAAAAUACCGGUUUGGAAAUCUACCGUUAAACUCAAUAUGUCCUCUCUCUCCUCCCUCUGGUUUCUCCGCCUUCUCUCCUUCUAUUUGCAGUCGAGUUUCUCUGAUGACCGGUGCAUGGUGGUUUCGUUAACGCCAGUGCCUGUCCCAAUCUGCUUAGUUUUCCUUCUAGUUUAGCAUAUGUUCGGCGUGUAGCGAGUAGAAUCUAUUUUGAUGGAGAUUUUGGUUGGAAAAACUUAGCUUUCUUUCUCAGAUAUGUGUUAGAUUUCUGAAGUGAAAAUAUCGGAUCGGUAGAUCAACGGUUUGUUUCUCCAUUCCUUUCUCUAUCUUGUUAUUGGUGGGAUUUUGGGUGGGCUUGUUCACUUUUUUGGAAGCUGCUGUGGAUUCUUUCCAGUUAUGUAGUGAGCCAGUCAUGUGGGAUUGGUUUCUCUCAGUUCGGUUAGGCUUGGCUCCUUGUUUCUCUGUCAGAUUUUGUUUUCAGUUGUCUUUAUCUUUCUUUACUGUCAUGUGUUUGUGUUUGUUGGGAUCCCUUGUAUGAGCUUAGUUUCUAGGGUUGGUUCUGUGUGAUUGCUGGCUUGUGUACCGGAUGUAAUUUUUUCGGUGUAAAAACACUAUCUUGUAAUCCUUCGUGUUUUUUCUUAAUAAAAUCAGGUGAAAAAAAGAGUUGUAAAAUAUAAAGUAUUAAUAUUACAGUUCUCUUAAGUUGAUU
rnacentral:lncRNA from 1 species